rnacentral:rRNA from 1 species
AUGCAAUUUUAUAAAACGUGGACACGAGCAUGUUAUGAAGCAUUUGUUACCGUGGUGGAACGAAAAAGGGUGCCACGGCAACGAAACCGAAAAUGGUGCCACGGCAACAUAUCGGUUCUGGUAGCUCACGGAGAUACCGGCGCAAGGAGAAUUGUGCGGAUGUGUGAAACACGCAAGAGAAUGGUGGGGUGCUCCCGGAUUCCGGGCUCCCACGCUACGAUGGCAUGGCAACAAGGAGGAACAUGGAAUGACAACUCGGAAACGGUGCAACCACGAGCAUCUCAUACAACACACAUGCAUUCGUUCACGGGCGUCGUCUUGGGGUUAUACCUUUGA